CAGGGCGGCCGGUGGGGCCUCAGGUAAAGGUAAAGAACUGUGGCAGGUGCGAGCAGUUUGCUGUCCUGCUUUCCCUGCUGUCACUGUACCGCGUGUGCUGACGUCACCCAAACACCGACGUCAUCCCAGCGCCCACUCUCAGACCCAAGACUUCUGCUGUGUCUCGAGUCGCGCCGGACCACUUGCAGAACCGAAAAGUGCUGACAGACAGGGCAAGGUGCUUGCUUCGCGCCUGUAGGCCUAGCCUUACAAAAGUCUGAGGCAGGAGGAUUGUCUUGAGUUGAGGCCCUGUCUCUGAAAUACAAACAAAGGCAACUACCAUCAACCCUGACGACCGAGUUCGAUCUUCGGGACCCAGAAGACCUGCAUUAGAUCCUCGGUAUCCACGCAGUCCUGAGUCUCAUGACUCCCAUGCAUGCACACAUAUGCACACACAAAAAAUGAGUAAGUAAAUGUAAAAACAAAAAAUUUAAGGGCUCAGUUACCCUGCAAGUAUGAGAACAUGAGUUCCACUCCCAGAAACCACACAAAGAUAAAAAGCCAGCCAGCCUUGAUGCUGUACACCUUUAUUCCCAGCACUCAGGAAACAGCAGGUGUGAAGUUGGCGUGGCUGAAAGCUAAAGAAAAUAACGCUUCUCCAGCGAGUUCCACCAGUUGAGAGAUUCCGCUGCUGCAGCAAGCAGUACAUGCUUGGCAUAAUGUGUGAGUGGUGAGGUGUGACCGCAGAGGCCACUAGCGUCUUGAUGGAGUGGCACAGAGGAGCUGCCAUCCAGCUGGUCCCUCAUGCUCAGAGGUCUUCCCCGGCUUUCUGGCUGUGCAAAUCUUGGUUCCUGCUGGUUUGUACCCACUCACUACAGACCACAAACCAUCAGAGAUGGCCGUGAAGAACAGAGGCAGCAGGGACAUUGCCCUUCUGCAUCACAGAGAUGUCGCUGGCAUUCACAAUAGCUUGUUUGCUUGUGCUCCCUUGCUACCUUUGGACUCACUGAGACCCACUUGCCUUGACCUCCUGAGUGCUGAGAUUAAAGGCAUGCAUCAUCAGGACUCAUCAAAAUAUUUGUCAUGAAACAAAGAUCAAGAUUAUCAGAUUGGGAAACUAAUA